AUUUAAUCAGGAAAUAAGGUAAGGACCAAAUAAAAUCAAGGUAAAAGGCCUCUAAUACAUGGCAUAUGAGAUGAACGAGGGAGGAUCAAAAGAUCUCUUCAAUUUCCAUAAGCAAUCCCUAAGUCAAACAUCGAUCAUAAAGAAGUCAACUGAAAAUUCAAGUCAACUUAAAAAAUAACAAAUAAAUAGCAAAUUAAUCAAGAAAAUUAUGAAAAAU
rnacentral:lncRNA from 1 species